rnacentral:lncRNA from 1 species
CUAUAAAAGAUGUAACAGAUGCAAACUGUAAAACAAGGGCAAUUAACCCUUGCUCUCCUGAGCAGGAUCCCCCCCCCUCCCCUCUUCGCCUUCGCAUCUAUUGUCUUCUCCUGCACUGGGAGUUUUACACAAAAACCUAAA